rnacentral:rRNA from 1 species
UACGUAGGGCGCGAGCGUUGUCCGGAAUCACUGGGCGUAAAGAGCUCGUAGGCGGCCGGUUGCGUCUGCUGUGAAAUCCCGGGGCUUAACCCCGGGCGUGCAGUGGAUACGGGCUGGCUGGAGGCAGGCAGGGGAGAAUGGAAUUCCCGGUGUAGCGGUGAAAUGCGCAGAUAUCGGGAGGAACACCGGUGGCGAAGGCGGUUCUCUGGGCCUGUGCUGACGCUGAGGAGCGAAAGCGUGGGGAGCGAACAGG